rnacentral:rRNA from 1 species
ACGUAGGUGGCUAGCGUUAUCCGGAUUUACUGGGCGUAAAGCGCGCGUAGGCGGCCUUUUAAGUCAGGUGUAAAAUCUCCCGGCUCAACCGGGAGGGGCCAUCGGAUACUGCAAGGCUAGAGUGCAGAAGAGGAAAGCGGAAUUCCCUGUGUAGUGGUGGAAUGCGUAGAGAUCGGGAGGAACACCAGUGGCGAAGGCGACUUUCUGGGCUGUAACUGACGCUGAUGCGCGAAAGCGUGGGGAUCAAACAG